GGGUGAAGUCGUAACAAGGUAGCCCUAGGGGAACCUGGGGCUGGAUCACCUCCUUA
rnacentral:rRNA from 1 species